UGUGUGCAGUUGUAGUUGUUGUGGGUGAGUUGAUGAGGCGGAAAAACUGGAACCAGUAAAACCACAGAAACCUCUUUAAAGUCCAGGUCCGAACAGGGUCCUCCUCAGUCCGCCUCAGCCUGACGACACUGAACAAACCCUCCAGCUGCUUCUUCUUCUUCUUCGCUCCGAGAAUAAACAAGUCAUUUUUUAAACCCGGGUCAGACUGAGACACAGCACGAGCUCUAUCAGCGCUGAGCAGACUGCACGAGCUGCGACAAGCCCCGCCCACCGGACACCUGUCACCUGCCUGAUAGACUCUGACUGUGUGUCAGCUGAUCUCAGGUCUGUUUGACUACGACAUGUUGUCAUGUGACGUCGUGUGAGGAUCAGAUCUGUCAAUUCGUCCUUCAGUCUGACAGCUGCUGCCGCUUCUCUGACACAGCAUCAACACACUUUAAUCACUGUUUCACCCCUGACCUCUGACCCCUGACCUCUGACCUCUGAGGUCAUGUUGGAGAAUCACUCUUCCAUCAAACCGAGGACGUUCUCAUCAUGUCUCUCACUGUGAAACCACCUCCACCCUCUUCUUCUGUGGUGGACC